UUGGGAAUCUUGGACAAUGGGGGAAACCCUGAUCCAGCCAUGCCGCGUGAGUGAUGAAGGCCUUCGGGUUGUAAAACUCUUUCGACGGGGACGAUAAUGACGGUACCCGUAGAAGAAGCUCCGGCUAACUUCGUGCCAGCAGCCGCGGUAAUACGGAGGGUGCAAGCGUUAAUCGGAAUUACUGGGCGUAAAGCGUGCGCAGGCGGUUUGUUAAGUCUGUUGUGAAAUCCCCGAGCUCAACUUGGGAAUUGCAAUGGAUACUGGCAGGCUGGAGUAUGGUAGAGGAAGGUGGAAUUCCCGGUGUAGCAGUGAAAUGCGUAGAGAUCGGGAGGAACACCAGUGGCGAAGGCGGCCUUCUGGACCAAUACUGACGCUCAUGCACGAAAGCGUGGGGAGCAAAC
rnacentral:rRNA from 1 species